GAUGACUUAAUGAACUAAAUAUAGUGUACUAACCUAAAUUCAUUAAUGGUUCAUUGUUCCCACCAUGACAUAAGAUUUGAUUUAUUAUAUAUACAUAUGGUCAAUCAUAUAUCAGGAUAAUAUGGUUCAAAGUUAAAAGGAGCUCAAGUAAAAUAUGGAGCAUCAGUGAAGUCACUAGAGACACUGUUUACAUGAUAUGUGAACACCAAGAACACCUCUCCUCUCUCUGGAUCAUUCAGGGAACAGGAAGUUAUAAAGGAAACAGGAAGUUCAGGGUUCUUUCUCUAAUCUGCACACAGCAAGCAGCAACAGAAAUGUAAGUUCCUGUACUGAAGUUAAGGUUUAGCAUUAGCAUGUAGCUUAGCAUUCGCAACAACUUGUAUUAGUUUAUUGUUUGAAUUUAUACAGAACUUUGGUAAUGACUAAACUUCUUGUGUCUUGUAGUUUUCACUCCUUCAAUCUGGUGAAGAAAUGAAAAGAGGAGAUCAUCUCUUUGCUCCCUUCAGAGCACUUCCUGUUGAUAAAUCCAGAGCUACAGAUUCACAGAUAUAAGAAGACCGAGGAGUUCAGAUGAAAAGAAACAAAGCUACAUGGACAGACAGCUGUUUGUACAGGUUGCUCCUCCUCGUAUUUGAUCCGCUCGUGGCAACAAUAUUAUUUGACUUUUCUUUCACAAAGCUGAACUGUACCUGUAGGUCUGUCUUGAUGAGCGAGGCUCCUGCUUGGACCAGAUAAUGACAGAUAGUUCUUUGAGACAGGGACGCAG